UAUACACAACAAUAUUCGUGCUCUACUAUUGACAUUGAUGAUGCGGCAACAUGGGGAAGAUUGAAGCGGCAGAAGGUCGUCUGUUCUUACGUUUUUGAUCACCGCCAACCCUCAAGGGUGACUGUAAUACCGCUGUCACACGGGCACUUGAAUGAUCAUUGCAUGUAAUAACCAUUGAUCAUUUCAAGCACAAUUGACGCUGCCCAGCUGCAACGCGGGCUCAUCCAAUGUUCCUUGAGAGGUUGACACGUUGGACGUACACUCUUAAACCCGUACCUUUUAUUGUAACUUUUAGAAACAUGUAACUUCUAUAUAGACGUAGAUUUCGAGAUUUCAUAUAGGUUACACCACUGUAACGUAUAUUUAGAGGUUAAAAGCGACCAAGGUCAUGUCUUUACAACACGAAUAGAAGUUACAUCUCGGAAAAAACAAAAACAGCUUGUUGUAACUUAUAAAUGUACCCUCUACUCCAGCACUGUAACUUCUAAGCGAAAUCUCCAACGAUAAUUUCUUUGUUAGUUUCUUAUCGUUCAUGUUCUUAUCGUUUGUUUUCCUUCUAUUUUUCAGCAUAAUGCCGCGUUUCAGCCUCCCAUUCGAGACGACAGUUGAGAAUCUACGCUGUUAUUUUUUAUCUGUUUCAGCGUCAUCUAUACGUCGACUACAUGUUAUCAAUGCUGGUGGAAAACCAUUGUCAAUGCCGCAACCACCAAGAUUUCCGAUUUCGCUGCGUAGCCGAGCCUGGUCUAUGUCUAUCCACACUGAGAGCGGUUGCCUUGAAACGCUUAACGCUCGUCGUCCGUCCGUUAACAAGUGUAAUCUGUUUUAAUCAGUGGUUUUCCUCGCGUUUAUCAUAGUAUCGUCAGGAACAACGGAAAAGCUAGAUGUCUCUAGCAAACAAGGAUAUUUUCGGUGUUCUCAGGGGAAAGUGUAGUGAGUGCGAAGAUUGCAAAGAAUAUAUAACCGAAAACGAACGUCACCACCGCAGCCCUAAUUCACACACUUCAUACACUGGGUAAGUGUACGUUUUGUGCUAGGUACGUGCGUUAUUUUGAUAGCAAGAGCUCUUAGCGCAUGUUUGUUGUGAUUAUGGCAAGCGUUUUGCGGUCCUGCAUAUGAACGCCACUUACGCUUGCUACUUUUCUGCUCUUACUUGGUCGCCAAGUCAAUACACCGGCGUGUAUUUUGCGAGCUGCGGAUAUAUGCAUCAAGAUAUAUAAUUCGCAGCUUCCUACUCGAUGUAUUCUUACGAUAUUCUAAGACUCAAUCGCGGAGUGAACGCCUUCCUGCAUUUAUGCUGCUUUGUACCUUGUGCUUUGUACCGAUUUGAAUGGUUCCGUAAUUGUUACUCUCAUUGCCCAAACUUUUGUUCCCAGGAUCCCACAUGCAGGUUCACAUAUACCGUCACCAGCGCAAUGCAGUACCUCACAAACUCGUCCCAGAGCGCCUCCAACGCUGAUAACGCAGUAAUGUAGUGUCUCCUGCGUUACUGUACACUCAUAUUCCUCAAGGUUGUGUGCGUUUUAUGUAAUACUGUAUUGCCAUUUGCGCUCGCCUCUGCAACACGAAUGUGGAAUAAAUUUUUUUCUGCUGUAA